GCUGGGCGUGGUGGCUCACGCCUGUAAUCCCAGCACUUUGGGAGGCUGAGGCAGGCGGAUCACCUGAGGUCAGGAGUUCGAGACCAGCCUGACCAACAUGGAGAAACCCUGUCUCUA
ensembl:misc_RNA Metazoa_SRP Metazoan signal recognition particle RNA